CCCCUCUCUCCGCAGGAAACGGAAACGGACGUCAUGGUGUCCAACUCACAUCUCCAUCUGUCGGCUGCAUUGACCUGCGUUGCUAUCCGUCGCCUGUUAGCGGGUGCAAUGGCAAGAUCCAACAGAAGGCGCAGAAGGUUGAGGCGCAUUUUAGCGAUGUGCCAGUGGCAGACAUGAACGAUGUCCUUGAGGAUGCUGAAGCCUUCCCCCCUGAAGAUGGGGACCAGAGUCCUCCCCCUGCCGCAGCAUGUGGACAGGAAAGUCCUGGACACCACCUAAGGAACAGGAUUGCUGCACAACUCUCUGCUCCUGUCCAAAUGGCACCACACCAGAGAGCACGAUUACAUCGAAUGAACUUUGUUUUUUUUUGGAAAAACGUGGUUGUCUGUUAACUUGUGUUUUUGAAAUGAUGUGCACACAUACCUGAUUAAUUUUGUUUGUUUUAGUGAGCUCCACUUCUCACUUUAGAGAAAAGAGGUGAAAUAAAAUAAACCUGUGCACCGUUGAUUUCAAA